AGCAGCCGCGGUAAUUCCAGCUCCAAUAGCGUAUAUUAAAGUUGUUGCAGUUAAAAAGCUCGUAGUUGAAUUUCGGGGUCAGCAGGUUGGUCGUGCCUAUGGUAUGAACUGGCUUCGCUGGUCUCUCCUUUCUGAAGAACUGUAAUGCCAUUAAUUUGGUGUUGCAGGGACACAGGACUGUUACUUUGAAAAAAUUAGAGUGUUUAAAGCAGGCUAACGCUUGAAUACAUUAGCAUGGAAUAAUGAAAUAGGACGUUCGAACCUAUUUUGUUGGUUUCUAGGAUUGACGUAAUGAUUAAUAGGGAUAGUUGGGGGCAUUAGUAUUCAAUUGUCAGAGGUGAAAUUCUUGGAUUUAUUGAAGACUGACUACUGCGAAAGCAUUUGCCAAGGAUGUUUUCAUUAAUCAAGAACGAAAGUUAGGGGAUCGAAGACGAUCAGAUACCGUCGUAGUCUUAACCAUAAACUAUGCCGACUAGGGAUCGGAUGAUGUUAAUUUUUUAAUGACUCA
rnacentral:rRNA from 2 species